rnacentral:tRNA from 2 species
CACUUGGCUACAUCCGCC